rnacentral:misc_RNA from 1 species
UUUAAUCAUUUUGUUAUCUCUAUUUCUCGAUAGAUUUGAGACACCAAGCUUGGUGUGAGACAGAGAGCAGACGGAGGGAUUGUGCGCGCGCCUCUCUACUACCUUCAAAAACACGUAAUGGCCACUUCCACCAGCACUCUGCUCCUCUUCUCGCUUCUCUUCACCACCACUGUUACCACCUCCUCCACUUCUCUCCACCGUCACCUCCUCCACCAACCCUUUUUCCCUCUUACUACCACCGUCCCUCCAAUCCAACCUCCUUCUUUUUCUCCCCAAGUUCAACCUCUGCCUCAAACCCAACCAAAAU